AUGCUCACUUCGCCAGCACGUGUACUAAAACUGAAGCGCUACGGAGAUUAGCAUGGCCCCUGUGCAAGGACGACAGCAUAUGCUAACAAGAGAAGACAAAUUAAU